UGGUUGGUUGGUUGGUUGGCUGGUCAGUUGGUUGGUUGGUUCGUUGGUUGGUUGGUUAGGCUGCUGGUAUCUUGCUUUACAUAUUUGCUUGUCUUUUGGUUGUUGAUUUUGUAAGACGUUUGAUCAGUUGUUGGGUCGUUUUGGUAAGUUGAUUAGUUGGUUGAUAGAGUGAUAGCUUGUGAUCAGUUAGUGGGUUGGUUGGUUACUUUUUUGGCUCGUUAGUUAGUUGGUUGCCUGACUGGUUGAUUGGUAGGUGAGUUGGUCGUUUCUAUUUAUUUAUCUUUUUUGAAGGUUGGUCGGUUGGCUGGUGGAUUGUAGAUCGUUAUUAUUGAUCCAAAUUAGAAAAAACAAGGUAUCAGAAACUCAUCAAAGCAAAUAAUCUACCAAUGAAAAAUUAACAGUAAAUAUGGACUAACAUUAGAAUAUAUAAACAUGUAGGUUUUGUUUUUACAGCUAAUUCAUAUCAGCUUUUACCAACUGAAUACUUUGAAAUACCCCUAUUGACCAGGAUAUAAUACUUUGUGGUGCAAUGCACCUGAUUUAAGUGAGAUUGUCUUAUAUUUGGGGUUAAAGCUCCAGUGAGGAACUUUCAGUAUGUGUCAACCUUGAGGCCCCCUGUGGAAUUUUUGCUAAUCUUGUCCUCUACAUGCUUAAGUUUGACAAAUACUCAAGCAGACAAAAACAGUCAAACUUAUCAUUUAUGGUGAAUAUUUUAUGUGGAAAUUGGAUAAUCUGGUAGAUUGCUUUCUCCAUGUGCUAUCUCAGUGCUUCAUUUAUAUUGAUUUUUCAUUUAUCUAACAGAUAAAAUUUUAAGAAUUUAAAAAUAAAUCAUUUUAUUAAAAAGAUAAAAAGCGUCAACUUACCUCAAUGUAUUGAAUGUUUAUUUUACUAUGAUGUUUAAGUCAAAUUUUGGUCAGUAUUAAAACAAGAUUUGGUCUUCAAAAGUCUAGCCCUGAAAAUCAGUCAUGGAAAGGAGAGGUUGUCUAAUAAUCAGGGUUGAGUUUUAUCUGGCUCAAACCAGAAAAACUAAUUUCAGUUUUACCAUUGUCAUUCUGUUCUGACUGUAUUUUUUUUUUUCUUCGUUUUCCUGGAGAGCCCUUCCCAAAGGUUCCAGCUGACCAGCGUAAUGGAAAGCUCUGCUCUUACAGUCAAGCUAAUGUAAUGGGUCUCAUAGGGCUGGAUGAAAUGAAUGUGACUGAGGAGCUCUGACAAAAACCGCAGACAAAAGGAGUGUUAGUGUCUGAGUGUGAGGGAUAUAGGAGAGUAGAGCACUGUGUGCGGUAGACUGAGAAUUGUUAACUAACGUAAUACAAAACCAUUCAAAUGAAUAUCAACCUGUUUAUACUUCUGACUUUGCAAACACAUCUAAACCCUCCCUUUUGUCACCACCAAGUAAAACAUACUCUGAGGAUAAAGACCUGCAUGGCAUGUGUGUGAAAUAAGGUAUUUCCUCUUUCAUUGUUUCUAGUUGCCUCAUAAACCCAGCACACACUUUGUGUUUCAUGGGCAGCAUGUUUGAUACCAGCUCAUUUCCCCCUCUCCCACAGCCCCACCAGGUGGCCGGCUGGCUCUCCUCCUCUGUGACUCGAACCCUCUGCCAUCCCGCAGAGCUCAAAGCUCCUGAAAGCACUGAGGUUAGUUUGGGGGCUCUUGGUCUCACUGCAAAAAAAUAAAAUAAAAUUACGAGUUCUUCAGAACUAUUUCAAAAGGAAAAUACAAGAAGAUCAAAGUGGUGCCUUUAAGCUUUAUGACCGAAAAAAAGAAUCUUUCAGAAUACACAAUACGCUGGAGGUCCUCGAAAUUCCCAAACAGAGCACUGAAAUAUUGGUCUGGAAGGAACCCCAAAGAUUCAGUGCUCUCCUAAUGAAUCAGGGCAACUGCCUUUGUUUACCAUGUUAUUGUAACUCUUAAGAGCUACACAAUGACCACAUUUAGAACAUUUAACAUGAAUCUACAAAUGCUUAUGUUACUUAGAUAAUAUCUGUUUUUUCCUCCUUUGAAAUUAUUCAAACAUGAGCUUGUGACUUAAUUGUCCAAAAGAUCUUCCUGGAUGAAUCUUGUCAUAUGAACUUUGUUUUUAAGGACAGCUGGUGUAAACACUUAGGAGAUAACUCUUAUUUAUUUCAUUUCAUCCUCGCUUUCUUCUUCCUUUCAUGACUAAGCCUAUGGAUUCCCUGUUUCCUGGUGGGAUUAGUAUGUUUGCUUUGAUGUGGGUUAUGCCCUGCUUAGUGUGUGUGGGAAGGCUCCUCACUGCUGUGUGUGUGUGUGGCAACAUUGAGGUGAGGGGGUACACGCAAUCUGCUUUUUACUCUGGCAGUGUUUGGAUGUAGAGCGUGACCCAUA
rnacentral:lncRNA from 1 species